GGAGUAUUGCGAUGAUGAAGAAGAAAAUUGUAUGUUAUAUAAAGAUUCUGGUAAUUGUCAGUCUAAUCGAAUUUACAUGCGACUUUAUUGCAAGAAAACGUGUGGCAUGUGUAAAAAUAUAGGUAAUGCUGAAAAUGCUCGAGCAAACUGUUCGGACAACUCUCAAUAUUGUAUUAACUGGAAGAAAAAGGGUUAUUGUGAAGUCGGUAUUUACACGGCCCAUGUAAGGAAAGAAUGUGAGAAAACGUGUGGUAUAUGCACAUCCACAGAAAAGGAGACCGUUACAAAAGUUGAAUGUGUCGAUACACAGAGAUUGUGUGAUUCAUGGAAAAUCA